rfam:Schistosoma haematobium scaffold631_10, whole genome shotgun sequence.
GCACUUCUGAAGAGUCUCACAAUAAAACGAAACGGUCGUCCUGUGC